rnacentral:lncRNA from 1 species
CAGGAUAGCCUCCUGGAUAGCCUCCAGGAUAGCCUCCUGGAUAUCCUCCAGGAUAGCCUCCUGGAUAGCCUCCUGGAUAGCCAGGCCACCAACCUCCAGGUCCUGGCCAAUACUCUUAUUAACAAACACAUUAACACAAUUCAUGUUAGCCAUUAAUACAUGUAUACUAUAUUAAUUUAUGCUCAUCAUAAAACAAAGUUAUAAAAUACAGAACUUACGAUGAUCUGCUGUCGCUUUUGAUGUAAUCAGAAGAACUACAGCCAAGAAAAUGCAAAAAGUAAUUGUCUUGGAGCCCAUUUUUCUCUCCAAGAAUUUUCUUAUACUUUUUCUUAAUGAGUAUUUUGGUGUGUCAAGCCUCUAUUUAUAGCUAAAAUCUGGACAGAAAAGAGAGAGAGAGAGAGAGAGAGAGAGAGAGAGAGAGAGAGAGAGAGAGAGAGAGAAAUUUGCUAUUUGAGGUAAGUAGAGUAUGUCUUGACUUGGUCUACCUUAUCCUCAACCUGUCGGGGUUUACUUGUUUUCAUUAGGGGGAAAUAGAGAUGAUCAUGUAGUGCCGAAUUUUGCCAACCGUCGAAAUUUAAUAUCAUAAAUAAGUUAAUGUAACAUGAUGAAGUGCCUAAUUUAUUGUCAAUAUAUCCUAUAACUUAGUCGAGAAUAGUCUGCAUAAAAAGGCCUCUUCUAUGUGAUCUAAUACCAUAUUUUUCUAUUUUCUUUUAGUUUAUUUCAGAAAAUUGGCGCAGAUCGUUGUGCUGCGGAUUAUUUGCACUGCAACUUCAUAGGUUAGAGGCCAUUUGCGUCAAUUAUCGGUUUGUUUCUAGUGACCCCAGAAAUCAGGUCGUCUGCGGUCGCGUUAGGGUAGGCACAGUAAAUAGAUUGUCAUUUAGCAGAUGAUAUCCAUUCAAAUGGACAAAAGGUCAGAUGGGUCCGAAUUCAGUAACUGUUGUUUAAAGCUAUUCAUAUUAAAUAAAAUAAUUUUUUUUUUUUUUAGUAAUAUUAUUUGUAAUCACUCACUGUCGUAAUCAUCCUACGUGACAUACAUGUGGUGGUUACUAAUUUGAUACAUUAAUGUGAUAUUGUUUUAUGUAUCAAAUCACAAACCAAUACAUAUUUACCAUGUACAGCGACUGCGAUAAUAAACAGCAACUACAAAUAGCAUUAUUCCUUUUUUUUCCCAUUUCACAAUCAAACUUGAGUGAGAUAUUUCUAGCACAAUUCUCACGGUUUGAAGGUCCACUCUGUUGAUAGAGAGUCAUGCUUGAUUUUGAACCAGUUGCCAGUUAAUCUUAUCAACAAUUAUAUGGUUCAUAUACCAUGCAAUUUACUCAUUUCAUCCAAAAUAGAAUAUCAAAAUAAAAUCGAUUUCCCAAAGAUCGACAACGUCUAAGCGUCCAAAGCUCGACCAAAAGAAAAUGAUAGGGAUUAAAUUGAUCGAAAUUAGAAGUUGUAAAAACUAAUGGGACUAAAUUAAAUUUAUUUGGAAGAUAAUGGUUUAAAUAAAUUAUUAAGGGUUGGAAUUAAUAAUCCAUGAUUUAACUCAAAAUAGGUUCAAGGGCCAAAAACUUCGAAAUUAGAAUUUUUGGACAACUUCAUUCAUGAUCGAACAGUCAGCUUGAAGACACGAUUACGACUUGUAAAUUGAGAGUUAACUCUGAAUGUUAGCUCAUUUUUAAAAUUCAUUACGAGACCAGCGAUUUAAUAUCAAUAUUGAAUAUUUUUCAUCUCACCAAAUAGCGACAAAACUAAUGCCGAAGUUGAACUCGAAAUCUGGAAUUGCUGAAUCUUUUUGUGUUCAACAUUUUAUGCACACCGGAAAAACAAGAAAGUUUAGAUGAAAGUUGAAAUUACAAAUAUUUCAAAUUUCACCUUUUCUUUUUCAAAAAGCCGAAAAAUCUAAGACAGUUCAAAAAUUCUAUCUUCUUCAUGAUUACAAGAAGGGAAAUUUUGAAAGAACAUGAACUAAGAUUCAUUAAACAAAAAUGAAACCUUUUUGGAAAGAAACGGUAAGAGUAAAGGAAAAUGAUAAAAACUUAUAAUCCCUCAGUCCCACAAAGAGAGGCUUCCUUCCAUUAUUACAAAGAUAAAAAAAAAUUCUUAUUGUUUAAAAAAUAAAAAUUGAUGUUGGUGGACUUCCAAUUUUCUUAUUUCACCUGUGUUUUUGCUCAUUGCUACCACAGCACGUCUGUUAAGGCUGCAAUUAAGUAGCGAGAAGAGAAGAGAGGAUGAUUAAAGAGAGAAAGUGAUUCGAAUGGGUUUCUGCAAUAGAGUGAGAGAUUUGCGUGUGUGGGAAAUGGGGACAGCUCGUUGGGUGUCAAAAGGGAGAGAAAAAAGAAAAUCAAAAAAUAACUAUUUGCUAACACGUGUCAAAAUGACAUGUUAUGCGAUCAUAAGCGGGGAAAAAGAGGAGAAAAAAAUAAAGGAUUAAAUUGUAACAUUGUCCGCGCAACUGAAUUAACUUCAAUUUUUGGGUGAGACUUACUAAUAAAGUUGGAAGAAUCCAUAUGUACAUAUUUUAAGUUUACAGAAGUUGCACAAACUCAUGUGUGUGGGCUUUACAGUAUAUAAAAUAUUCCAAAAAUAUUGUGGGCCUCAAGAACUGUGAGAUUUCUGUACCCAUUCUGUAUAAAAUUUUUCUAUACGUGUAUAACAGCCCAAUAAAGUUUCCUUUUCUUACAUUAUGGCAGCAUGGGUACUUGUCUGCAUUUAAUACAUUUAAGCAUUUUGUUACUUUCUUUGUACGUAUUGAUAGAGCUUGAAGCGUCAACUGACUUGAAGAUGAAGUUGAAAUUUAAAAAGGUUGAACUUCAACUUUAAGGACCCCCACCGUUCCGUCCUUGGAGUAUUAUGAGAGAGGUAAAUCGAGGGAUGUGACUCAACAGACCAGGGAAUAAGAACUUGUCUGUACACUGAUAUCCACAAAGAGUCCAAUUCUAUAUUUCGGGAGUUGAAAUUUAAAGUGUAUGUGAAGUUGAUCAUUAUAAUUUACUCGGGCAAGGACUCGACCCUUUUUCUUUCAAAAUUGACACUUAUUAAGCCCCCGUUUGUUUUCGAUUAUUUACUAAUUAAAAUGAAAAAUAUAACCAUUAUUCAUCACAUCAAGCCACCAUAUUUGACUUUUUAUCUCUUGUGUGGGACCCGUAACGACUAUAUUUUUCAUUCUCAUUUUUACAUUAUUAUGUACCAAACAGGGCCUAAACCUUUCUUUUUGAAACCGUAUAUUUAUACUCUUUUCAAAUAAAUUGGUGAAUUAUGGUGUUACUGAUAGCAAAAAGUCAUGUUAAAUUCUUCUCAUGAACUCUAAUUAUUGUUUUAUUUUUUAUUUUUAUGAUCGUGGGUGUACAGGCCAACUUACACGCACCUCAACUAAUUUCACGGGACCCUAAAGUUUACGGCCGGCAUAAACUCUAACUAUUAGAAGAUGCAAGAAUGUCUAAAGAACCCAAAGGAGCUCGUAAAAUCACUUGAGAUGAUUUUGCGAAUGGGUUUAGUGACUUACGAGAUGCUAUUCUUUGCCAUAUUUUAUCAUUUCUGAACACAAAAUAUGUGGAGGCCACUCUAUACAACUCAUCAGAUUUAAGGACCUUUUUGUUUCUGUCCUUGACAUCCUUCUUGAAUUAGUCGUUGCGGUAGAAAUUGCAAGGUGUAGUCUUAGACAAAUUAUGCUACGAAAUGUGCCUCAAAUCAUUUAAUUUCGUUUUAAAUGCAAUUUCACUUUUAAUGAUUCUGCAAUCAAAACUCUAGCAUGUGCUGCAAUAUGGCAAAGUUUUAAACAUGUUGAUAUUUGUGUGAGGUAAAAUCACUAGAAUAUUAUCAUCUGAAUUCUAUAUCACUGGUUGUCUUGAAGCUAAGAGGGUCUUUGAAUUUACACGUCCCAUAUAUGAUCUCCUCACCCAAUUUAAAGGAGAUUCUCUUCGAAGAUUUCACAUUAGCAAGUGAUGAUUUAAUGAGAAGAUUGUUCAAAGUUAUAAGCUACUUGAAGAUUUGUCGCUAUUUGGGUAGAGAUUUGAGCAUGUUGAUGUUCUUUAUCUUUCACUCCUUUCCUUCGAAAACUUUCUUUCGAUCACAGUUUUGGACACAAGAAACUAAACUUGUAAUUGAUACAUUAGAAGAACUAAAGCCUCUUGCAAGAGCGAAUAUUUCUUUGCAAAUGACUGCGUAAAAUCAAGAGAACGUAGAUGAGUUUAUCAAUGGGAUGCAUGAAAUCAAAUCAAUUUAUUUAUCAUUUGUAAUCUAGAGGUAAAAAAACUAAGCUUUAUUAUCUACUCCACAACGUAUUAUGAGUAUAGAAAAAUUUAUAUUCAAAUUACAAAUACAUCUACUAAACUACCUUUGACUGUGUUUGAUCACGUCCAAGUGCAAUAGUUAUGCUUGCGUCUAUCAAACUCUAUAGCAGCCCGUUCUAAAUAGCUCAGGCACCUAUCUAUGUUAGUUCGAAAAUUUGGGCCCACAAACUGGAACAGUUUUACAAAAAUGACGACAAUCAUUCAUGAUUUUGAUCAUCAUGAGUAUAUAUAUAUAUAUAUAUUAGGAUGGCAAAAAAAUUCUAUAAAACCCGAUAUCUGUGAGGUCCCACCCCAAACCAAGCAGGAAUUACCCGCUUAAUCCGAUAUUCAAGUCGGGUACGGGACGGGGGAUUUCCCUAUGUUUAACUUUUUUUAUUUUUUUAACGGGGAAUUUCGCUCUACUUAAAUUUUUUUUUUAAGAAUUCAAUAUUUUAAAAGGAAAGCUCCACGAAAUUUUAUUAAUUCUAAUAAAAGAUAUAAACUAAAAUUAUCUAAAAAAUAUGAUAAACAAUAAAAAUCUUAAUUUACUAAAUAUAUUCGAAUAAUUUAACUUUUAAAAAUAAACUAAUUAAUUAAAAAUUUUAAUAACUAUAUUAUUGUCUUACUUUAAUAAAUGGGAGCAAUAAAAUUGAUUAUAAAAAAAAAAAGACUAAACAAGUAUGUAAACGAGACAAGGGCCCAAACCCGCCCCGCCCUACCCCACCUUAAAUGCGUAAUAGGGUGGGUACGGGCCCUGCCCCGACUUGAAUUUGCCCCGUUACCAUCCAUAUUAUUUGUUUUAUUGCACUUUAUAUUGUAUUAAUUUUUCUGAAGAUAUGUCAACAUAACAUGAUAUUAGGAUAGAUACGACCAGCGACGGAUCCAACACCCGGUGAGGGGGUGCGGUUGCCCGUGCUGGAUCCAUUGGUAGUUUCACUUGCCGUCGGGCACCAAGAGAGAAGCUUUCAUAGUUGCAAAGAAGUCACAAAUUGAAACCAUGGAGGCGGGAUUUUGGGAAGAAGAUAGACAACCAUGGGUUAUGUUUUUUAUUUUUUUUAUUUUGGGCCUCCUAUUAAGCUGUUGGUUUUUUAAAAAGUGGAAAUUACACAAAUUAAUAGAUUUAAAGAUCCCAUUUCAUAAAUCAUAGGUGAAGUUUACUAUUUCAAAAAUCAGAUAUUUUAUUAAUUAAUUAGUAUAUUUUAAAUAUUAAUAAUUAUAUUACAAAAUUAAAUAUACAUAUUCAUCCUACCAAACCCUAAAUUCAUCUUCAUUCAUCCCUUUCAUUUUCUCUCUCUAUAUCUCACCUCCGUCUUCGUUCCUUUCAUUUUUUGUCUCUAAAUUCAUAGGCCGUCAAUUCGUCAAACUAGAAUAUAAUACAAUUUAAUUAUUAAUUGUGGAAUAUUAAAUAACUCGAUUCAUCAAUUUUUGCAAUUUUAGCCUCUUAGGAGAGAAAUGAUUACCUUUGAAAUCAAUGCGACGUUUCAUUGUGAUCGACGAAGGUGAUGGUGACUUGAACAAGUCAAGAACAGAGAUCGGACUUGGUUGCAGUCAUUUUGGCUGUGCUAUUGAGCAAUUUAUCACACCUAUCUAGAAACAAUGGAAGAUUCAUCCUCUAUGACGAUGGUGGUGAUUUUCUCUUUCCGACGACUCUCCACUGUGGAUUUCUUAUUCCUAGUCGAUCAAUUCAUGACGGUUUGAAGUGAUCCUCUUUUUCUUGUGUCCAACUUCGGCGAGUGAAUGUGAGAAAGUCUAAUUCUUUGUUGACUCGUUAGCUCUACUACGAGUUUCAGCGUUUAACGGCUUAGGUUUGUUGAGCGAGUUUGACCGCUUCUCAUUACUCUUACUCCAAGCUAGUGCGCUUGAGCUUCUAGCUUGCCUCGUAGGGCUCCUAACUUUUUUCAUUGAUCACAAGUCAGCAGCAGUGAUAUGGUGGUCACAAGUGUUGUGGUGAUCACAAAUUAUUUGGUUGACUGUGACCAUUAAAGUAGUUAAUAUGUGACCAGUAAAAAAUAUGUGGCUAAUAAAAAAUAUAAAUUGUGACCAAAAAAUAACGUGUGACCUAAGAAAUUGUUAAUAUGUGGCCGAUAAUUUAAUAAUUUUUUACUUUGUAAUAAGUUAUGACUUAUAAUAUUUGUAAUUUGUGAUCAAUAAAUAAACUGUGACCCAUAAUUUUGUUCAUUUGUGAACGAUGGACAAACUGUGACUUAUAAAAAUUUUAAAUUCUGAUCGUAAAAUAAUUUAUAACAUAAAAAUUUUGAUUUUGUGACUAAAAAAUAAUAAGUGACUAACUAAGUCAUUAAUUUGUGAUCAAAUUGUAUAAAUUUGUGACUUAAAUAAAUUUAAUUAAUUAAUUAAAUCAUAAAUAAAUUUUAAUAAAAAUCUGAUUUUUGAAGUUUGAAACUUGUUUCUUGAUUUUGAAAUGUGUGAUACUUAAACUUUCUCUAUUAAGAAAUUAGGCCCAAUUUUGAAAGAAAUGGAUUUGGGCCGGUGAUUGAUUUUUGAAAAGAAAUUGUAAGCUCUUCCAAAUUGUUUGGAAAACCUUCCUCUAUGAUGUGGUGAUCAACAACUUUGAAGUAUCUUUAUAUUCUUGAGCAACCCUGGGUCACGCCUACUAUUGAAGAUCACUCCUUGAAAACAGAAACAACAUAUCUCGCAACUUUGAGUGUUGAAGGUGAGUAAUCUGCUUGAUGAUUUUGGGAUUUUCUUGAAUCUGUUAUUUGGGGAGUUUGAUUUUGGACAAAAUGUGUUUGAGAGGAAAUAAGGGUUUUGAUAAAGGGCUGCAAUUACAAGGUUUUCCAUGAUUUAUUGUGUAUUAAAGUAGUGCUUUCUUUUUUUUUUUUUUUUCUUUUUUUGAUUGAUUCGUGCCGUCAAACAUUAUAAUAAAUGUGUUGGGGUUUUUUUUUUUUCUUUUUUUGAUUGAUUCGUGCCGUCAAACAUUAUAAUAAAUGUGUUGGGGUUUUUUUGUUUUCAUUUUUUACUGCUAAAAUUGCAGCAAAUCAUUAUAAUAAAUGUGUUGGAAUAUCUCGCGAUUUUGGCUCAUUGUUCAUUUCAAUUUAUCUCUCUUCUGGCAUCUUUACACUUUUGUUUUAAUGUAUAUGCAUUUUCAUAGUUCUGAUAGAUGUCUUAAUAGUGUGGUUGGUUGAUAGAGUGGAUUGGAUUGACCGGUCACCAGAUGAUCUUAAGAAAGAAAACAAAAAAACUAAAACUUUGUCCCUCGUAUUGUUAAAUGUAUCCAGUUCUGUGCACCAAAAAUUUUCUAUUCACCAGCAAUUUCACCAAUGCUGUCAAUUUUUUCUUGUUCCUUUAAGUCAUGAAGGGGAAUUUAUCAGAAAAAAUUUCUCCGAUUUGCCGUAGCUAAACUCGAAUCCUAGAUACGACCAAUAUAAAUUGCAAAUAAACCCAAAAGGCCCAUUAUAUGUCUCAUCGUUUCUCACUGAAUAUUGGCGUUAUUUGCUAUAGCUGCUAUAAUGGAUCUGCCUGUUAGAAUGUGUGGGGUAAAUUUUUGUUAGAUAAAUUUUUCAAUAAUGUAAAUAUUGAUUAUGGCCUUGAUAUUUCCUUUAUACAUUUUCUUUUAUUGAGAUAUAUAUUGGUUGCACUGGCCUUCCCAUUGAUGAUCUUGAUUCUUGAAUAAUUCUUUAUUGACUAUAAUGCACAUUUUUCUUGAGGUAAUCUAUGAUUUAUAAUUACAUGUAAAAAUAUAUAUAUAUUGAUAUUCUACGACAUUGACAAUUACAAUAAAAUAAGCAUUCAACAAUUUUAUGUCAUCCCCAUUCCGAUGAUCUUCGCUCAAAACUUGGAUUCACUCCCUUAUUAUUCUUGUUUGAAUAUCUUUACUAUGUGAGAUUCCCUUAUUUUUAGGAAAAAUUGUAGUCAAUGUACCAAACCUUUACUUUAUUUGCAGACUUUGUUCGAACAUUUCAUUUGUGUCACCGUAAGUACCCAAGCUUUAAAAAAUCUGCACUUGGAUAGAAACCGUUACUUUUUCCAUUGAUUGACCAAAAAUUAAAUGUCUGACCAUUGUUGACUAAUUUUCAAGAGCAAAAAGGUAACUUUACAUUUUUUUUCAUACAAAAAAGCUAAAAUAAAAGGAAUUAAAUAAAUAAAUAAAUCAUAUUAUCUUCUCUACUCACCCACCCCCUUCCUGAAACCAAAACCAAGAGCACGAAAACGCCGACACCCAGCACCUUCGUCUCCAACCUUGCUUGGCAUCACCAUCCAACAAUCACCAAUCGAAUCUUCUCCCAGGAGGAUAAACGCCUUCAAUCAAAACCCAAGCAUUUAUCCUAAUAUAAACUCAUGCAUAACUUUCUUGGAAACCCAUCUCUAGUUUUGAUUCAGAAUUUGGGGAAAUUAAGGAAAAAUGAUGACAACUGAAGGGAUGAUGGAUAGAAUGGGUGUUGGAUGAUAUAAUAAGGGGGCUUUUGGAAGGCAGGNNNNNNNNNNNNNNNNNNNNNNNNNNNNNNNNNNNNNNNNNNGAAUAGGUGCAGCUUUCAAAGGUGGAGAUCUGGCAACUUUCGGAGGCAGAGAUGAUUGGAUAAAUUUCUAUCUUAAACCCAUCUCAACUGCCAUACUACAAAUUCUUCAUACAGUGAACUAAGAGCUACAAUUGAAAAGUGAAGGAAUUGUGUAAUUUUGUCUUUGCCUUCCUCAACAAAACUCUGCAAUACUAUGUCCAUGUCUGAAAUCUAGAUUUCAAACUCUACAUUUCCUUCUCAAGAUUUGUAGAAGGAGUGGUGGUGUCGAUGGAUUUGGUGGCAAUCAUGAUUGGUGGAUUUGAAGGUGGAAGGUGGCAGUGGUCCGAUGGCUGUGAUUUCGGAAAGAAGAAGGGUCUUCCCUUUUCUAUUAUACUUUUUUUUAUAUUUGUAUUAAUUAUUACAGCAUUACCUUUUUGUCCUUGAAAAUUAGUCAACAAUGGUCAGACCUUUAAUUUUUGGUCAAUCAACGGAAAAAGUAAAGAUUUUUGUCAAUUUGGAUUCCAAGUGCAGAUUUUUUAUAGAUUUGGUAUUCACGGUGGCACAAAUGAAAAGUUUAGACAAAAUCUGCAAACAAACAAAAGGUUUGGUACCUUGACUGCAAUUUUUCCUACUUUUUAUGCUUGAUUUAAGGAUAUUUUUAUAGAAAAAGUACAUAACUACAUUACUUUAAUUAUUCAAUUUCUUAUUUAACAAACUUACAAAAAUAUUUCAAAAAUCAGAUGAUAAAUUAUAUUAAUUUAUUAUAUUUUUCUAAUAUUGUAGUAAAUGAAAUUUAGGAAUAUUAGUCUAAUUUACAAUAUUUCCAUUAACAAUAUCGUAUCAUAAUAUACAAUAAUUUAACUAUUAAGAUAAUUGUUUCUCUCACCUCCAACUUUCUUUCUUUUACAGAGACUCUCUUGGGGUUCCAAAACUAUGAAAUUUUUUUUGCAAAAAUCAGGCAAUCAAAUUUUGUAACAUCUGAUAAAAUUGGUAACAUAUAAUUAAAUUAAACAGGCCGCGAUCCCAAUAAGUCAAUAAAUUAUAAUUUACCGUCACAAUGCAAAUAACACACAAUCACAAAAAUAUAAUUUGUAUAUCAUAAUUACAAAUUUAGUUGUAAAUUACUCACUUUUAUUUGUCACGAAUUAUCAAAUUAACUCGUUACAAUCACUAUUCAUCGCACCCUAUCCUAUUUCAUCACCAUUGACACCACCCAAAUCAUUGUUACUACCUCAAAUCUACAACCUACAACCACUUUCACAUUCACCUCAAAUCCACGAAAACCGAUGACAUCUCAACCUCCAUUGCCGCCGCCACCACCCUUCGUCGCGGGAAAAAAAAACUAAUGCAAAAACCACCAAAAAGAUCAACAUUUUAAAUUAUCUAGAAAUAUGUCAAUAAUUAUUCGUAGUUAUGAAUAGUCAUCAAAUCUGGUGUUAAUGUAGCAUUAUUAUUUGCCCAAGGCACUUCAAAUCUGGUGUUAAUGCUGCUAACGUCGAUGAUAACUUUUUUCUCUUGAAUUGAUUUCAACAAAAAGCUAUAGUGCAAUACGUAUGACGAUGUUGAAACAACUAUAGAGCUCCUCUAGGUAAGGGAGCUCAAUAUGAUUGCCUUCAUUAUAUAUAUAUAUAUAUAGAGAGAGAGAGAGAGAGAGAGAGAGAGAGAGAGAGCGUGCAUUUGUUGAGAAAUAAAGUGUUUAGUAGAGAGAGUUGAUAAUAAUGUAGCCAAAAAGUAUUUUUACAAUGGAAUGGACCGCGGAUAGCAGAGAAUAAUCUUGCAUAGGUACUUACGUAUAAUAAAUAUCACUACAAUAUAAAAGAGUCUAACCCUUUGGCACUGUUCAUUCCGGACACAUGUCUCAAUUUCCCGUUGUUCAAGCAUUAUGAUGUCGUUAGGAGAAAUUUUAAAGUUGCCCUAAUUGCUCUCCUUCAAGGCAAUAAAUCCUCUCAUCUCUUGCUCUCUUCCAGAGGAAAUGACUCCGGUCACUAUUUCUCGGCAACAUAAAUAAGCCGUUGUUGCCUCAUCGUCAUAAUCACCACCAGGGAAGGAGUCACCUCAAGUAGACAAUCAACUACUUGAUUCAGAUUUUAUAGUGAUACUAUUGACACUUCUCUUCAUACUAAUCUGUGUUCUUGGCCUUUUCGUCUAUUGAUACUAUCGAAAAUUCCGCUCUCCAUCAUCGUCUGUCUCUCCGCCACUACCUUCUCCUUAAGUGUCAUCGAUGCCUCUACCAUGUGAGCCCUUCCUUUUCUUUUUUAUUUAUUUUUUUGAGCUUUUAGUAUAUUUUUAUAGAUUUAGUAUUGUCAUUUGUGAACUAUGAUGAAUAAUGAAAUUAAUGAUGAAUUUUCAAUGAGUUGUUUGGAAUUCUAUGAAUUUCAAAGGAAAUGGAUUGUAUGGAAACCGUGGGUUUGGGUUGGUUUUGAUUCCCAUGUGCGAAAAAUGGUGUUUCUCGAAACACUCUAAAAGAGUGCUAUUUCUGUUAAUUGGUCUAUUUCGUCUAUUUAAAUAAACCUGCCUAAUGGGCAAAUAUUGGUUGGCCGGUUGAUGAUCACUCGGACUGCGCUAGUUUAGACCCUUUUUGGACCGUUAGAUUUAAUCAAGGGUUGAGAUGAUGCCAUGGAAAAUGAAGCGUCCUUUUUCUUGCCCAAAAGUUAUGAGGCUUUGUGAUACUUCAGAUUUUUCAUCUUCUCUCUUCUUCGUCUUUUUGGGUUUGAAAUUUUUCUUCUCUAUUUAUAAGGUUUUUGCGAUUGAUCAAAUAGAUUUUUUAGGUCUUGUGUACAAUCAGGCUUGAGAUAUUGGCUGAUCUUGUAUUGUUAAACUCUGAAAAUGUUUGGUUGAUUUGUUUGGUAGAUUUGUGUAUGUUUCAUGAGAUCGAUUCGAUCAAUGAGUGAAACCUUGUGGCCUGAAUGGUUCUUGGUGUACUCUUGCUCUCUUGAACGGUAGAUUGUGCCAUAGUGGAAUGGGCUGUCCCUGAGCCCCCAGAUUAGGCCUAUUUUGGCUUAAUUUGGUCAACAUUUUUUCGUGUUCUUGUGUUCGUUUUAUGAUUCUUUGUGUAUGAUGUUUGUUUUUAUUUCAAAUCUUUUUAAAAAUCAACAGUAAAUUCCCAAAAAAAUUGGUAUCAAAGCCUCAAGGUUUCUGGGUUCAAUAUUUUUUUGUGAAACAUCUUUUCUGGGUCAUUUUGGUUCUUCAAUCUGUGUAGAUCUUUUCUGAUCUACACACAUACAGUUUGGUAUCUUGUCUAUUUUUUUAUAAAUUUGUUUACUAAUCAGUUUGUUUUUGUAAAAGUAAUGAAGGUGACAAACAGAGGCUUUGGUUGUUGGUUUGAUUUCAUGCAUUGUAUCAAUAAUAUUGUCUCGACAGUAUUGGUAAGAUCUGUCCAUAAUACUUUGUGAUUUCAAUUGGACAUUUAUUGUUUGGAAUACAUGCACAUAUCGAUAUAUGUUGUUCUGGAUUUUGUGAAUUAGUAAUAUAUAUAUAUAUAUAUAUAUAUAUAUAUAUAUAUAUAUAUAUAUUUAUAUAUUGAGCCUGUUUUGUACCUUGAUAUAUAUUUGACUGGAGUUCUUGUAUAUCUGAUUAAAUUGGUAUAAAGAUAUACUAUCGAAUACUUGCUCAAUCUCUAAAAAGUUUUUUGGAACUUUGGUUUCUUGAAACUAUUUACUAUAAAAAAAAUUCAAAAACCUUUUUUACAAAAUCCAUGAGUUUAAGCCAAUCUUUUACAAAAUCUAUAAUGGGUUUGAAGGUCAAAUUGUUCCAUUUCAAUGGAAAUGGGGAUUACUCUGUAUGGAAGCAAAAAAUGGGAGCCAUCUUGGUCCAACAGAGGGUUGCAAAGGCUCUCGAUGAUCCUGAAACUUUUUCUUUUAAGUUAAAAGCAAAACCUGCUAAAAUUGAAGAAAUGAAUGAAAUUACCUAUAGCUCUAUAAUUUUGCAUUUAUCUGAUAAUGUGGUUAGACAAGUUAAUGAUUCCAAAACUGCAAGAACUUUGUAAAAUGCCUUGGAUGAUUUGUUUUAAACCAAGACUCUUCCUAACAAGAUAUAUUUGUUAGAAAAACUAUUCAGUUUCAAAAAGGACCAAGAAAAGGAUUCGGAAGUCAAUUUAAGUGACUUCAGCAUAAUUGUUAAAAGUCUUGCACAAAAUAAUAAAAAAAUUGAAGAUGAGGACUUGGCUGUUAUACUAUUGAAUUCACUGCCUGAAUCUUAUAAAGAUGUUAAGAAUGCCAUAAAAUAUGCUAGGAACACACUUACACAAGCAAUUGUGAUCGAUACCUUAAGGUCAAGAGAGUUAGAUGUGAGGAGAGAAAAUAGAACCAACUCAGUAGAAGGAAGCUUAUUUGUAACGGAAGAACUAAAAAGAAAGGAUUUAAUUUCCAAAACAAGAAGGGAAGGGAAAGAUCUAAAUCCAAAGAUAGAAGUAAUAAGAAGUGUUAUAACUGUGGAAAAUUGGGACACUUCAAGAGGGAUUGUUUUGAGUGAAAAAAGAAACAAAAAGAUCAGAACAAUAAUGAUCAGAAUAAUGAAGCCAGUGACUGACUUGGACAGUCUACAUGUACUAAAUGUGUCAACUGAAAACUCUAGUAAAGAUUGAAUUCUAGAUACUGGAUAUACCUUUCAUAUGUGCCCUGAAAAACAUGGUUUUAUAAUUACAAUGAAAUAGAACUAGGAAAAGUGUAUACGGGAGAUAAUAAUUCUCGUAUUGUGAUUGGCACUGGUGACAUUGCUAUAAAAAUAUUUGAUGGCAUUGUCAAGUCAAUAAAAAAUGUGAGAUAUAUCCCAAAUCUGAAAAGGAGCCUUAUUUCACUAGGGAUACUUCAAUAUGAGGGAUAUAGCUUUAAAUCUGAUAAUAAAACUCUGAAAAUUAUGAAGGACUCUUUAGUAGUGAUGAAAGGACCUAAAAGAAAUGGUUUAUACUAUCUAGAGGGAAAAAAUAGUUAUAUCGCCUUAUUCAAAUGUAUUGACUGUAAAUGAAGAUAAAUCUGGUCUUUGACACAAUAGAAUGGGACACACUGGAAAUAAAUGGCCAAAAUCUUUAAGUAAUCAAAAAUUACUUGGAAACGAUGACAUUGAGCCCAUAGACUUUUGCGAGACUUUUGUGUUGGGUAAGCCCAACAAAAUUAGUUUUGAAUCCAGCUCACAUGGGACCAAUAGGCCCUUAGACUAUGUACAUGCUGAUCUCUAGAGUCCUGAAAAGCAUUCCACUUUUGGUAGAAGUAAGUAUUUCUUAUUCCUCGUAGAUGAUUAUUCUAGGAAGGCUUGGAUUUAUCCUUUAAAGGCUAGGUCAGAAACCUUUCAGAAGUUCAGGACAUGGCUAAGAAUUGUUGAAAAUCAAUUAGAGAAAAAAAACUAAAAACUCUAAGAACUGAUAAUGGGCUGGAGUUCUGUAAUGCAGAAUUUGAUAAUUUCUGUAAGCAGAAAGGGAUAUUGAGGCAUAGGACUGUGAAAUACACAACCCAACAAAAUAAGGUAGCUAGGAGAAUGAACAGGACUAUAAUGAAUAAGGUUAGAUGCAUGCUUAUCAGUUUUGGUGUGGCUAAAGUUUUGGGCUGAAGCUGCCUAUACAAUAGUCUAUUUGAUUAAUAGAUCUUUUUCUAGUAGUGUAGACUUCGAAACCCCACAAGAACUAUGGACAGGUGAAUCCCAAAACUUAACCCAUAUAAGAGUUUUUGGAUGUGCAGUAUAUGCAAUUCAAUCUGAAGGAAAAUUGGAACCUACAACCACCAAAUGUGUGAUGCUAGGAUAUCCAGAAGAUGUUAAAGGCUACAGGUUGUGGGUUUUCGGUGUUCCAUGCAUUAAGAUUAUCAAUAGGAGAGAUGUAAUCUUCAACGAAUUAGAAAUUUCAUGCCUAAAACAAAAAUUUAAAGGAACAAAUGAAUUUGAAAAUAAUAAGAUAUUCAUAGUGAGGUGAAGUUAACUAAAUUUAACUUACCUCAACCUGAAGAUGAUGAAAAUACUACUAUUUAUCAUCAGAAUGAACCUGUUCCUGAAUGUGUUGAAGCUAAAGAACCCUAAUUUGAGGCUGAACUUGAAGAACCUGAACAAAUUACCGAACAUACUGAUAUUCAAGAUUGUCAACUCAUUAAGGAUAGGGUAAGAAGACAACCUAGACAUGAUCCUAGGUAUGAACUAUUAAAUCUAAUAGACUUUGCCUUAGUCUCUAAAGAAAAAAUAGAACAAGCUGAACUUGCCUCUUAUGAAGAAGCAAUUCAUGGGAAAAAUUCUGAAAAUUGGAUAAAGGCCGUGAGAGGGGAGAUGCAGUCCUUAAAUGAAAAUAAAACUUGGAAGCUUGUUAGAAAACUAAAGGAUCAUAGGGUAGUACAAUGUAAAUGGAUUCACAAACUUAAAGAGGGCAAUAGCCCAACUAAUAUUUUUAGGUUUAAGACUAGACUAGUGGCAAAGGGGUAUACUUAGAAAGAAGGGGUUGAUUACAAUAAGAUAUUCUUACCCGUAAUCAAAUAUAAAAUCAUCAGAUUGAUACUAGCACUAGUUCUCAAAUAUAAUUGGGAACUUGAACAACUUGAUGUGAAAAUCGCCUUCUUCCAUGGAAAAUUAGAAGAGGAUAUCUUCAUGAGCCAACCUCAAGAUUUUGAGAUUAAGGGCAAGAUUGAUUAUGUAUGAAAACUUGAAAAAUCAUUGUAUGAACUGAAACAAAGUCCUAGACAAUGGUAAAAAAGGUUUGAUGCAUAUGUAUUAAGAAGUGAAUUUGAUGCUUGCUUGUACUAUAACAACCUGAAAAGUGGUGGUGAAGUUUACUUACUAUUGUAUGUGGAUGAUAUGCUUCUGGCUAGUCCUGAUAAGUCUCAAAUUACAAGAUUAAAGGAUCUUUUGAAAUAUGAAUUUGAUAUGAAAGACUUAGAAUGUGCUAGAAAAAUCUUAGGAAUGGUUAUAAAGAGGAAUGGACUUGAAAAUAGACUAACAAUUACACAAGAAAUAUAUCUAAACAAAUUAGUAACCAGGUUUGGAAUGAAAGAUAGUAAAUUUGUUAAUGUACCCCUUGCAGACCACAUGAACCUAUCUAAAUCUCAGUCCCCUAAAUCUGAAGAAGUAAAGGAAAUGGAAAACAUACCCUAUGUAAAUGCAAUAGGCUCUGUAAUGUUUUCAAUGAUAACCACCAUACCUGACCUUGCUUAUGCAAUCAGAUUCUUAAAUAGAUUUAUGUCCAACCCUGACAAGGCUCAUUAGGCAGGAAUGAAAUGGUUGCUUAGAUAUAUUGUUGUUACAUUAAAUCUAGAACUAGUUUAUGAGAAAAGAUUUGAAAAUGUAACCCUAAAAGGUUAUGUAAAUGCUGACUUUGCUGAUGACAAAGACAGUAGGAAAUCAACUAUAGCUUCUUCUUCUUUUCUUUUUUUUUUCUUUUUUUUUUUGUACUCUUAGGAAAAGUUGCAUAACUUGAAAAUCUCAAUUGCAACCAUUAGUUACAUUGUCUAGGACGGAAGCUGAGUAUGUAGCCAUAAUUGAAGCUGUGAAAGAAUGUAUUUUGUUAAGGGAGAUUUUAAAAGAACUGAACGUUAUGAAUCAUACUCUUGUUAUAUAUACAAAUAGCUAGAGUGCUCUAUUACUUUGUGAAAAUCCUGUCUAUCAUGAAAGAUCAAAAUAUAUUGAGAUGAAGUAUCAUUUUAAAAGAGAACAACUAUCUCAAGGAAAAGUUAAAUUGACUAAAGUUCGUAUCGAUAAAAAUCCUUCUCAUAUGGGGACCAAAGUUUUGCCCAUAUGUAAGUUUAAAAUAUGUUUACUCUUGCUUUAUAUUGACACAGGUUAAUUUUCUUUUGCAGGUCUUAGGGAAAUGAUGAUGGAUAGUAGUUCCACGGGCACUUUCAGCAACCAGAGAACGAGUGCUGUUGAGAAUCAAGGUGAAGAACGUGAACAUUUGUGUUUCUUCAAACACUCUAAAAGAGUGCUAUUUCUGUCAAUUGGUCUAUUUCACCUAUUUAAAUGAACAUUCCUGAUUGGCAAAUACUGGUUGGCCGGUUGAUGUUCACUCGGACUGCGCUAGUUUAGACCCUUUCUGGACCGUUGGAUUUAAUCAAGGGUUGAGAAGAUGCCUUGGAAAAUGAAGCGUUCUUUUUCUCGGACAAAAGUUACGAGACUUUUUGAUACUUCAGAUUUUUCAUCUUCUCUCUUCUGGUUUUCUCUCUUCUUCGUCUUUUUAGGUCUAAAAUUUUUCUUCUCUAUUUGUAAGGUUUAUAUGAUUGAUCAAAUGGAGUUUGUAGGUCUCGUGUACAGUCAGGCCUGAAAUAUUGGCUGAUCUUGUAUUGUUAAACUCCAAAAAUGUUUGGUUGAUUUGUUUGAUCAAUUUGAGAAUGUUUCAUGAGAUCGAUUCGAUCACUGAGUGAAACAUUGUGGUUUGAGUGGUUAUUGAUGUACUCUUACUCUCUUGGACGGUAGAUUAUGUUAUAGUGGAAUGGGCUAUCCCUGAGCCCCCCAAAUUAGGCCUAUUUUUGUUGAACCAGGUCAAUAUUUUUGGUGUUCUUGUGUUCAUUUUAUGAUUCUUUGUGUGUGAUGUUUGUUUUGAUUUCAAAUCUUUUUAAAAAUCAACCAUAAAUUCCCAACACUAUGCCUUUAGGUUUUAGUGGAGUGAUAGGUAGGGAGAGGUUCACUGAUGAGAAAUGAAGGAAGCAGCAAAUGUUGGAAUUGGAGGUUUUCCCAAAGAGGUUGGAGUUGGUGCAGGAUCAGAUUAUAGCAUAAUUUGAGGAAAACUCAGGUCUAUAUGGAGCUUUUUUUUUUCAUUUUUUUUUUUUUUUGCAGCUUUUUUGUUCCAAGUUCAUUUUUGACAUUUAGAUAUUAUAUAUCUGUUUGUAUUUAUGGUACAUAUAUUUUGUACAAGUGAUAUGUAAUUAUGGAUUCUCGCAGAUCUUGUUGAAAAUCAUUUUGGGUUUAUAAACUUCCUCUCAGCUUAUUUUGUUGUCAGUCAGGUAAAGAGGAAAAUUGUUGGGUUUUUUCAAUUUGAUCUUAUCAGAAAAUUGUUGUUUGUUUUGACAUAUGGAUUUUGCAGUUUUAUGAAAAAAUGAAUUUGAAAUUUAUUUUACUGGGGUGUUAUUCAUUGAGUUAUUGUUUAGAAGUGAUUACUUGGUUUUUAUGAACAUCUGAUGGCGUGAAUGGUUUGGUUAUAUGAGUUUUUGACUGAUUGCAAUGGAGGACGUGUCUAAUUAUGUUAAGAAAAGCCUUGAGUAGAUCACAUGCUAUACUUAUUCUUCGUUUUGGGAGAAAAAUAUGAUUUUUGUUGUCUUUUAGGGAUGGGUAGGUUGUGUGAUGAAAAGUUAAAAUUAAGCUGUUGUGAGAAUUUGUUAACUUACAAUCAGAAAUUAAUUUUUAUUUUGUUAAUAUUUCUCCUUUUUUUUUAUAUUUUUUCAUUUCUCUGUCUCAUCUCUCUAAUUUUUAUGUAGGUAUAUGUUUAUUGUACUUUAUGUAACCAUGUGUUUUCUGUUUCUAUGAAUUCUGGUUUCAAUUUUUUGUUCUCUUGAAUUAAUCAUUAUUUUUCUUAAAAUUUUGAUUGAUUAUAGAGUUUCGUUUCAGAUUUACAUAAACUAACCAUCGUAUUAAUUUUGUUAAAAGAUAGUCGUCUUCUAUAAAAAUUAAUGAAAUUUCAUGGAGUUUUCCAUUUAAAACAUUGAAUUCUUAACAAAACAAAAACUAAAUAAAAAUUAAUGGGGCGGGGGCAAGUACGGAUAACGGGGCGGAAUUCCCCGCCUCGAAUACCCCCGAUUAAGCAAGUAAUCACCAUCCCAUUUGAGACGGGGCCUUAGGUAUCGGGUUUGGCUAUUUUUUUCUAUCCCAACAUUGAAAUUAGGUUAUUGUUGAUAGAACUAUGAAAUUUCCUCUUUAUUUUUUCCUUCCAAUCUGUGUAAUCUGCCACCAGGGAGUCCAAGUCCAUUUAGCUUCUGUUUGGCCCCCCAUUAAUUUCCACUUCAUUACAUUUCAUUUUUUUCUCUCCUAUUUUCAACCACACAAUCUUUCGUAAAAUAAUAUUACACAUAAAUUAAAAACAUAUUCUUUUUCAACCACACAUUAAAAAAAUAUAUAUAUUCUACCCAUUUUCAUUUCCACAAAAUGAGGACCAAGUGGGAUAGACUUCAUUCCACUUUAACAAUUGGGUCAAGGCCCCCAAUUAAUGUAUUAUUUCUCUCAAGGGCUCAUUUCUUCCAAAUACUGUAAUUUAGUUCUUGAUAAAAAUUAAUUUGUGCAAUCCAUGUCCUCUUUAAUUCAAUUUAAGCCCUUCAAUUUCUAAAGAGUGAAAUUUGAUCCCCCAAAGCAGCAAAUUUUAUUCAAUUUCGUAUUUCUUGAUCAAUAUUUGCUUUGAUCCCGAGUUUUCUCCUAACAUAAUCCAAACACAAAUAAUUAAGUAUCAAAUUCACAAUAAUACUAACAAAUGCCCAUUUCGUGGCUUAGAUAAGUGUAAAUUUUACACUUAUUAGGAGUAUGUAAAUGAUUUCUAUUAAAUGAAAAUUAUAGUAACUAGUUGACGCUGAAAUACAUAUACUAGCAAACACAUAACAGCGAAUCGAUGAAAAUAACUUCGAAUUUGUCAUUGUGUUAAACACACUUUACGGAAUGUGGAAUGUCCCUAUAACAAAUUUUCCAAGAAAAUGUGAGAAUCUUUUUCAUGAAUAAGUUAGGAAACAAGAAAGGAUUAAACUAAUUGGAGAAGGGAUACAAGUUUUGGCAAAGAAAAAUUAUUCAAAUUAAAAGGCACGACUAUUUCCAAAAGAAGUUAAAAGAUAAUAUCUUUUAACUCAACCACCUUAUGAAAUUCAAAUUUUGUUCUAAUUUCUUCCUUCUAUAUCAUUUCAAGAGAGACGAUAUAAUUUCUUCAUUCAUACUCCAACAUAUUUAACUUCAUCAUUAUUCAAUAUAUGCUAGUGCACAUUACAUAAUUAAGACAGCAAACAUUAUACAACAUUACACUCUCAAACCACUUCUAAAUUUACAUAUUUAUUGGCAUCAUAUUCAUCCACGAAGUUGUAUAUAUAACGCGUAAAUGCUACACUUUGUCGAGCUAGAUUCAGCUUGGAGGCUUAAUUUAAGGUUGUGCAUCCCUCAUUCCACCAGCAUUCUUGCUGCCUCCUCCACCUCCGGACGAACCUCCUUUUGUAUAGCCUGCAGGAUAACCUCCACCUCCAGGAUAGCCUCCUGGAUAGCCUCCUGGAUAGCCAGGCCACCAACCUCCAGGUCCUGGCCAAUACUCUUAUUCACAAAAACAUUAACACAAUUCAUGUUAGCCAUUAAUACAUGUAUACUAUAUUAAUUUAUGCUCAUCAUAAAACAAAUUUAUAAAACACAGAACUUACGAU